UACGUAGGGUGCGGGCGUGUCCGGAAUUACUGGGCGUAAAGAGCUCGUAGGUGGUUUGUCGCGUUGUUCGUGAAAACUCACAGCUUAACUGUGGGCGUGCGGGCGAUACGGGCAGACUUGAGUACUGCAGGGGAGACUGGAAUUCCUGGUGUAGCGGUGGAAUGCGCAGAUAUCAGGAGGAACACCGGUGGCGAAGGCGGGUCUCUGGGCAGUAACUGACGCUGAGGAGCGAAAGCGUGGGGAUCAAACAGG
rnacentral:rRNA from 1 species